GCGGACGGGUGAGUAACACGUGGGUAACCUGCCCUUCAGUGGGGGAUAACAUUUGGAAACAGAUGCUAAUACCGCAUAGAUCCAAGAACCGCAUGGUUCUUGGCUGAAAGAUGGCGUAAGCUAUCGCUUUUGGAUGGACCCGCGGCGUAUUAGCUAGUUGGUGAGGUAAUGGCUCACCAAGGCGAUGAUACGUAGCCGAACUGAGAGGUUGAUCGGCCACAUUGGGACUGAGACACGGCCCAAACUCCUACGGGAGGCAGCAGUAGGGAAUCUUCCACAAUGGACGCAAGUCUGAUGGAGCAACGCCGCGUGAGUGAAGAAGGCUUUCGGGUCGUAAAACUCUGUUGUUGGAGAAGAAUGGUCGGCAGAGUAACUGUUGUCGGCGUGACGGUAUCCAACCAGAAAGCCACGGCUAACUACGUGCCAGCAGCCGCGGUAAUACGUAGGUGGCAAGCGUUAUCCGGAUUUAUUGGGCGUAAGGCGAGCGCAGGCGGUUUUUUAAGUCUGAUGUGAAAGCCCUCGGCUUAACCGAGGAAGCGCAUCGGAAACUGGGAAACUUGAGUGCAGAAGAGGACAGUGGAACUCCAUGUGUAGCGGUGAAAUGCGUAGAUAUAUGGAAGAACACCAGUGGCGAAGGCGGCUGUCUGGUCUGUAACUGACGCUGAGGCUCGAAAGCAUGGGUAGCGAACGGG
rnacentral:rRNA from 1 species